rnacentral:rRNA from 1 species
UACGGAGGGUGCAAGCGUUAUUCGGAAUGACUGGGCGUAAAGCGCACGUAGGUGGGUUUGUAAGUCGGAUGUGAAAUCCCGAGGCUUAACCUCGGACCUGCAUCCGAAACUGUGAAUCUUGAAUGCUUGAGAGGUUGGUAGAAUUCCUGGUGUAGGAGUGAAAUCCGUAGAUAUCAGGAGGAACAUCGGCGGCGAAGGCGGCCAACUGGCAGUGCAUUGACACUGAGGUGCGAAAGCGUGGGGAGCAAACAGG